GGAUGAAGAACGUAGCGAAAUGCGAUAAGUAAUGUGAAUUGCAGAAUUCAGUGAAUCAUCGAAUCUUUGAACGCACAUUGCGCCCAUUAGUAUUCUAGUGGGCAUGCCUGUUCGAGCGUCAUUAAUUCCACUUAAGCCCUGCUUAGUGUUGGGAAUCUACUCUAGUGGUGCUACCCUGGAGCUACCCCUGAAAGGGGGCUGGCCCGGUAGCUACCCUGUAGUUCCUCAAAGAUAGUGCGCGGAGUUGCGUGGUCCUCUGAGCUUAGUAACUAUACACCUAGCUUUUGAGUGUCCCGCGGCGCCUGCCGUUUAAACCCCAUCUUUUAAUGGUUGACCUCGGAUCAGGUAGGAAUACCCGCUGAACUUAAGCAUAUCAAUAAGCGGAGGA
rnacentral:misc_RNA from 1 species